rnacentral:lncRNA from 1 species
GAGAGUGUUAUACGAUGGAGAUGGAGAUGGUUGCGUUGGUAAAACAUUUUCAUAAAAAUGAGAAUCAUAAAUAAAAAGUUUUAUAGUCGAAGAAAGCUUACCAUGAAUGGUUGCUUCGGAGGCCUUAGAUGAUUUUUUAGCAAUACUAGAAGUAUCUUUCAGAAUCAUAGCAUUCUGGCGCUCACUGAGGGGCACCUCAUCUUCAUCCAGAAUUGCAGCAACCUUCUUCUUCUUCUUCUUCUUUUUCUUCUUCUGCGGUCUAGAAGAUCCUUCUUCAC